rnacentral:tRNA from 1 species
UCAGAAAAUAAUAUAUAAAUAAAGUAUAUAAAUUUUGGAGAUUUAUUGAGAUAAGUUCUUUUCUGAA